GUCCACGCCCUAAACGAUGUCAACUGGGUGUUGGGGAGCGAUUCCUCAGUACCGUAGCUAACGCGUGAAGUUGACCGCCUGGGGAGUACGGCCGCAAGGUUAAAACUCAAAGGAAUUGACGGGGACCCGCACAAGCGGUGGAUGAUGUGGAUUAAUUCGAUGCAACGCGAACAACCUUACCUACCCUUGACAUGUCCUGAAGCCCGCUGAAAGGUGGGCGUGCCCGAAAGGGAAUCGGAACACAGGUGCUGCAUGGCUGUCGU
rnacentral:rRNA from 1 species